UCACCUAUGAUGAAAUGGUAUCAUGAUUGACUGUUAAUCAAUUCUUGCAGGUUCGAAUCCUGCUGGGUGAG
rnacentral:tRNA from 2 species